UUAGAACUGAACUACUCAAAUAUCUAUAAAACUAUCUCCGAGUGUAAAUGUGAAACAACCGUUGUAUUCUAAAAGCUUAAACUGUUAGAGAACGGUGUUUAAACAUUUUUAUAUUUAACACUCCCCCUCACGUCUGGGCUCGAGACUUUUUAGUCGGCCCAUGACGUGGGCUUGAUAAAUGGGAGGAAAUUAAUUAUACUAGGGGUCUGGCAUGACUUGAGCUCAGGACCUCCUGCUCUGAUACCAUGUGAAACAACCGUUGUACUCUAAAAACUUAAACUGUUAGAGAACAGUGUUUAAACAUUUUUAUAUUUAACAGUAAAAGAACAUAACAUUUUGAUUCAUUUGGCUUUUAUG
rnacentral:lncRNA from 1 species